rnacentral:rRNA from 1 species
UACGUAGGGGGCGAGCGUUGUUCGGAAUUACUGGGCGUAAAGCGCGCGUAGGCGGCUUUGUAAGUUAGAGGUGAAAGCCCAGGGCUCAACCCUGGAAUUGCCUUUAAGACUGCAUCGCUUGAACAUCGGAGAGGUAAGUGGAAUUCCGAGUGUAGAGGUGAAAUUCGUAGAUAUUCGGAAGAACACCAGUGGCGAAGGCGACUUACUGGACGAUUGUUGACGCUGAGGUGCGAAAGCGUGGGGAGCAAACAGG